rnacentral:rRNA from 1 species
AUUGAACGCUGGCGGCAGGCUUAACACAUGCAAGUCGAGCGAGCCGCGGACGGGUGAGUCAUGUCUGGGAAACUGCCUGCUGUACGGGAUUAACUACUGGAAACGGUAGCUAAUCCCGCAUACCAUCAGAUGUUCCCAGCUGGGCUUAGCUAGUAGGUGGGGUAAUGGCUCACUUAGGCGACCAUCCCUCGCUGGUCUGAGAGGAUGACGCUGCACCCUGGAACUGAGACGCGGUCCUGACGCCUAGUGGAGGCAGAAGGGGGGAAUAGUGCAAGAUGGGCGCAAGCCUGAUGCAGCCAGGCCGCGUGUGUGAAGAGGGCCUUCGUGUUGUAAAGCACUUUCAGCGUGGAGGGGGAACUCGCAGAAGAAGCACCGGCUAACUCCGUGCCAGCAGCCGCGGUAAUA